AGAGUUUGAUCCUGGCUCAGAUUGAACGCUGGCGGCAUGCCUUACACAUGCAAGUCGAACGGUAACAGGUCUUCGGAUGCUGACGAGUGGCGAACGGGUGAGUAAUACAUCGGAACGUGCCCGAGAGUGGGGGAUAACGAAGCGAAAGCUUUGCUAAUACCGCAUACGAUCUCAGGAUGAAAGCAGGGGACCGCAAGGCCUUGCGCUCACGGAGCGGCCGAUGGCAGAUUAGGUAGUUGGUGGGAUAAAAGCUUACCAAGCCGACGAUCUGUAGCUGGUCUGAGAGGACGACCAGCCACACUGGGACUGAGACACGGCCCAGACUCCUACGGGAGGCAGCAGUGGGGAAUUUUGGACAAUGGGCGCAAGCCUGAUCCAGCCAUGCCGCGUGCAGGAUGAAGGCCUUCGGGUUGUAAACUGCUUUUGUACGGAACGAAAAGACUCUGGUUAAUACCUGGGGUCCAUGACGGUACCGUAAGAAUAAGCACCGGCUAACUACGUGCCAGCAGCCGCGGUAAUACGUAGGGUGCGAGCGUUAAUCGGAAUUACUGGGCGUAAAGCGUGCGCAGGCGGUUAUAUAAGACAGAUGUGAAAUCCCCGGGCUCAACCUGGGAACUGCAUUUGUGACUGUAUAGCUAGAGUACGGCAGAGGGGGAUGGAAUUCCGCGUGUAGCAGUGAAAUGCGU
rnacentral:rRNA from 1 species